UUUUAUUCAGCCUUCAGCAAUUUCCCACAUAAUUAAUUGGGCCUUCAUGUUUAUAUUGACACUGCAUGGAUGUCUAUAUCUAUGAAGAAACUACGAGAGACUGAGGGUGGUUGGAUAAAUUCUUGCUUAAAAUAAUUCUCCAGGGCAGACAAUGAGCCCUUGUUUCUAUUAUUAUAUUCCAUUAUAAAGAACAUAUAAUUAACAUAUUAAAUCAAGUACUAAGAACUAUAACAAGC
rnacentral:lncRNA from 1 species